CCUACGGGUGGCUGCAGUGGGGAAUAUUGGACAAUGGGCGAAAGCCUGAUCCAGCCAUGCCGCGUGUGUGAAGAAGGCCUUCGGGUUGUAAAGCACUUUCAGUGGGGAAGAAAGCCUUGGGGCUAAUACCCUCGAGGAAGGACAUCACCCACAGAAGAAGCACCGGCUAACUCCGUGCCAGCAGCCGCGGUAAUACGGAGGGUGCGAGCGUUAAUCGGAAUUACUGGGCGUAAAGCGCACGUAGGCGGUCUGAUAAGCCGGUUGUGAAAGCCCCGGGCUCAACCUGGGAACGGCAUCCGGAACUGUCAGGCUAGAGUGCAGGAGAGGAAGGUAGAAUUCCCGGUGUAGCGGUGAAAUGCGUAGAGAUCGGGAGGAAUACCAGUGGCGAAGGCGGCCUUCUGGACUGACACUGACGCUGAGGUGCGAAAGCGUGGGUAGCAAACAGGAUUAGAUACCCUGGUAGUC
rnacentral:rRNA from 1 species